AACAAAACUCUCUUGAUCCCCUCUCCCUUCUCCUCUCUGCAUCGUCGUCGACCGCCACAGCCCAGCGACAGUCGCCAGCCGCCCGAGCGCCACCCGAUCUCCCCUCUCCAGGUCGCGGACGCCAGGUGCUCGUCGGAAGCCAAGCAUCCGAGUCCUCCUUUGGGUCGUGCCCUAGUUUGGAUCCACCGCCCUGUCGCCAUCGCUGGGCGUCGCCCUCUUCCAAUGUCUAAUGUCGUCGCCCUAGGAGAGGGAGAGAGGGAGGACAAUGAGUUUUUCCGUCACAUUUCUGUCUUGUGCCCUAGCAUCCUCUCAUCCAUCAUUCCUCACGAUCACCAUCCUACUCAGAGCUCGACUUGGUGGCAUCGCUAUAAUCCAAUGUAUUGGAGCACCCGAUCGGUCUGAGACUGGAGGAGGGACCCGAUCACUUCGUCGGAUUUCACAUUGUCCUCUUCAUCAAAUCACGUUAAUCUACAGUAGGGAGUUAGAUCUAAAGCUCUUUCACUCAUCCGUCUGUUUCCCGUAGUCAUGCUAGCCAAAUCCUAAUUCUCCAGCCGACUAGGAGGGAGUUCUUCUUGCGAUCCGAGCUCAAUGGUCUAUAUCCUCGCAGCUGCACCUGAAUUUCCUCCACUAAGCAGCAAUAGAUCACAUUAAGGACAUUGAUUUGAGACGAGCGUCUUGACGUGGGAUUGUUUAACAUGAUCAACAGAUAAAGGCAGAGAUGUGAACUUGGUUUUUCAUCUUGAUAGUAGCCAAACCAGCUACUUGUGUUCUCGACAGCCUGUGUGGAACAAUAUCCUGGAAGAUUGUAACUUGAAAAGGAGGGACCUAUGGAAUUAACAAUCAAGGAAGGAACACACUGCUGCAAAAUGGGUAAGAGUCUCUUUAAAUCAAAUCCCCAAUGCAGGAUACUUCAACACUGUAGCAUAUGUCGUGAGUGAUGUUUCAGGCAACCUUCCUUCCGAAGUGCAAUUCAACUUCUGGGUUCACCGUCCAGAAGUCUGGGAUGACACUGAAGAAAAAAGCCCGCCAAUCUGGUCAAUUUAUGUGCUUUGACGAUGUUUAUCUCUUUAGAAAAGAUGCCUGUGCAUUUCAAAACAGUACAAAUUUACAACAAAUCCGUCAACCUAACUGUAGCUGCUGUACAAAUAAUGCACACGAACAAGAAGAUGAAUGGAUUUUUUUUU